ACGCGCGCCGCCGCCGCCCCCGCCCCCCCGUCACUAUGCCCGGGAGCACGCGCAGCACAGUCACAUCCACUCCUCACUCCACUAUACUCGGGAGCGCGCGCAGAGGCUCCCCCUACAACCACGCUAAGCUCGGGAGCGCGCGCAGUGCUACCACGGCCACCGCGGAGAAAUCCGGCCUGACCUAGAAGCCGGCUCUCUGAGCAUGCGUAAAAAAAGCGUCUCGAGGCACGGCUCCGAUUUAAAGCUUUAGCUUGUCCGGAUCUUCUUAGCGGUCCGGAAGGUGGGAGGAAGCGGGGUGGAGACGGUAGAGAGAGGUGAGAAGGGGACUGAACCUGAAACGAGGCGGAGUUACUGCUGAGACUUGGGAAAGAGCGGGGAGGAGAAAGUCGUGGCUCUGACUUUCAAGUUUGUCAGCCAAAAUGCUUGCUUGAGUUGGAGAAACCCGAUGCACAGCUUAGCCGCAGUAAAGGAAAAUGUUCUUGGACUAAAACGGGUGAGACAUGUGACACAAGGUCCGUGUCUGAUAGUUCUUCCAGCUCUUACCUUCCGCCAGUAAGAAUCAACAUGAAUUGGAGAAUUGGAAAAGUGAGGAAAAAUCAAGAGUGGAGAAUGAUCCCAAGGUUGAAAAGUAGAGUGAUUGGAAUUGCAAUGCCCUCAACAGAAAUAAAGAAAUUAGCAAGGAUGUCUUUAGGAGAAAAGAAAAUGGGUUCCUUUUUGGCCAUGUUGUCCAUGGAGAAUUCAAGAAGAGAAGUCCAGGAAAAACCAGAAAAGAGGAUUUUCAAAAUUAAAAAACACAAUAAACAAUAUGGAAUACAGGGUAAUCAAGAAAAGGAAGUAAUCAGGAAUUUCAGUAACUGCAGAGGAAACAAGAAGCAUGAAAGUAAAAAAAAAAAAAAAAAAAAAAAAAA